CACUGCUGGACAGCAGAGCUGGGUCUGGCGCACAUGCUUUCUCAGGAGAGACACCGGGAGGCUCGGCCAGCUCCCGCACAUUCCUGUGGCUACAGCUCGGACACAGACUCCAGGGAAAGAUGGGAUUAGCCAUUCAACAGAAGCUUGAUACAGCAGUUACUUUGCGCCCAGCACAGAGGGUCAGAGUCAACCAAACUGCAGCAAGGUCACAGGAAGGAGAUACAGAAGUGAAUGUUUUUGUUUUCAUUGACAAGAUCUGGAAAAUCCUGAUCAUAAGAGGUGUGUUAUUGGACUGACAUUCCUGAGAAGUCACCCAGUCCUCUACGAAUAGCUGCCCCUGCUCAGAUACAAGGAAGAGAUGUGUUGGCAGGAGGACAGAUCCAGCUGGCUCUCAGAACUCAGUGCCGCAUCAGAACUGUCAGAGUCCCUUCACCAAUCCCAGUACUGCUGGUGCCGCUCAUUUCUGGACACUGUGGGUGCCACGGGAUCUGUAGUAACCAGUCAGCAGCAAUCAUCCUUCUAGAAGCUUCCAGUGUUUUCUGUCUAGACUAGAAUUAAGAUCUCAGAACACAGCCCUGGGGCCUCAGUGUGGGGCUUGGCUCCAGACCCGCUUGAUUCUGCCCAGCUGUGGGAUCCAUUGCCCUCAUUUCCGAGCAUGUGCUCCCUCCCACCAAGAGACUGGAAUUCUGGAAAGUGAGCCAAACAUGCACAUGUUUUUCCACUUCCACGGUGAAAGUUCGGGACUCACUGUCCGAUGGUCCUCCUGGGUGUCCAGGACUCCUCAACCCUGCCCAGUCACGGGCACAUCUCCAUCUUCAUGUCCUUGCCUCCCCUUCCACUUCUCUUGCAUCCACUGAAAUCCUAGGCAGCUCUUAAAAUGCAGGCUCUGAAAUUAGAAAACCCCAGAAGUUCUGAAAAAUUGCUGUUUCUGACAUUCCCUGUCUCAGAGCUUCUCACUGUGGGGCAGAGAUGGUGCCAGGGACCGCCGAUGUUUGUGAAGCUCCCCGGCCCACCUGAGGCCAGUGGUGCGUCCACUGCCUGCACUUUCUGCUGUCAGCCUUUCAGUUUCCGACAGGCAGAAUGCACCACUCUUUCCUCUCCAUCCUUCCUGCAUGGUCUGAAGGGCUGUUCUUCAGGCUCUGUCCCUCCAUGUCCAUUGCGUGAGGACAGGGACUAUGCCAUCAUCCGUUUGGUGACUCUGCCCUUGAUUCAGUGCCUAGCACAAUGCAGAAAAUGUGUGCUGCAUACAGAGUAUGCUUGGUGACAUAACCUGUAUUUGUAAUUCGAAAUUACAGUGUAAAACCUAGAAAUAGCAAAUAAAAUUCCACAGCUGCUCCUCUGUGCCACCCAAGAGUGGACAGUCUCUGCCUCUCCGGGCUUCAAGGAGCCUCAUCUCAUGCUGCUUCUCUUGGGAAGUGUGCAGUUCACAAGCGGUG
rnacentral:lncRNA from 1 species